AUGGAGGCGGACUACUACAAGGUGCUCGGCGUCGGCCGCGGCGCCACCGACGACGAGCUCAAGAAGGCCUACCGCCGCCUCGUCAUGAAGUACCACCCAGACAAGAACCCCUCUCCGCAGGCCGACACCCUCUUCAAGCAGGUCUCCGUGGCCUACGACGUGCUCAGCGACCCGGAUAAGCGCGCCAUCUACGACCAGUACGGCGAGGAGGGGAUCAAGGCGGGCGUCGCCACGCCCUCCCCCUCCGCCGCGCACGCGCACGCGCACGCCCACGGCUUCGGCGGCGGCAGCGGUCCCGGGUUCCGCUUCCAUCCGAGGAGCGCCGACGAGAUCUUCCAGGAGAUGUUCGGGGGUUCGUUCUUCGGGCAGGGGCCGCGCGGCCCUUGGAGCGGAGGCAGCGCUCCGCAGUCUGUCCCGGGGUGCGCAGCCAGCGUUGCCGCCGCCGCUGCAGGAUUCUCUCCCGGGUCAGGGGAGGCGUCCGGGGGGUCGGCGAGGAAGGGAGCGGCGAUCGAGCGGCAGCUAGCAUGCAGUCUGGAAGACCUGCACAAGGGCGCCACCAAGAAGAUGAAGAUCUCCAGGGAUGUCCUCGACUCCGUCGGGAAACCGAUGAGUGUGGAGGAGAUCCUAACAAUUGAUAUCAAGCCUGGAUGGAAGAAGGGCACAAAGAUCACCUUUCCAGAGAAAGGCAACGAGACACGUAACGUCAUACCAUCAGAUCUCGUCUUCAUAAUAGAAGAACGGGCACACCCGAAAUUCAAGAGAGAUGGGAACGACCUUGUUUACACGCAUAAGAUUUCGCUCGUGGAUGCAUUGACUGGUUGCGCAGUCCAGCUGACUACUCUGGACGGGCGAAGUUUAACCGUUCCCGUGAAGUCUGUCAUCAGUCCCACCUACGAAGAAGUUGUUCAGGGCGAAGGAAUGCCGAUCACAAGGGAGCCGUCUAAGAAAGGGAACCUAAGGAUCAAGUUUCAGAUCAAGUUCCCCACCGCUCUAACAGCUGACCAGAAGGCAGGGGUCCAGCAACUUCUGUCUUAG
rnacentral:rRNA from 1 species